rnacentral:rRNA from 1 species
CACGCCCUAAACGAUGUCAACUAGCUGUUGGGGCCGUUAGGCCUUAGUAGCGCAGCUAACGCGUGAAGUUGACCGCCUGGGGAGUACGGUCGCAAGAUUAAAACUCAAAGGAAUUGACGGGGACCCGCACAAGCGGUGGAUGAUGUGGAUUAAUUCGAUGCAACGCGAAAAACCUUACCUACCCUUGACAUGUCUGGAAAGCCGAAGAGAUUUGGCCGUGCUCGCAAGAGAACCGGAACACAGGUGC